rnacentral:rRNA from 1 species
CCCCCACACACGCGUGGGUAUAUGGAGAACCGGAACCGAUCUCUAACGGGUGGCAGCAGUAGGAAUAUUUGGCGUUAUUGGGCGAAGCUGACGCAGCGAUGCCGGCGCGGAGGGGACGAGUCUAGGAUUGUUAAGCUCCUUUUUCUGAGGGAGAUAGGUCUGGUAGGAAAUGACUGGAUUCUGACGGUACUCAGGAUAGGAACGGCUAACUCCGUGCCAGCAGCGCGGUAAUACGGAGGUUCCAAGCGUUGUUCGGAAUUACUGGGCGUAAAGGGAGCGCAGGCGGACAAGUCAGUUUAAAGUGGAAUCACAGGGCUCAACCCUGGACGUGCUUUGGAUACUGCCUGUCUUGAGUUCGUGAGAGGAAAGUGGAAUUCAGGGUGUAGCGGUGAAAUGCUUAGAUAUCCUGAGGAACACCAGUGGCGAAAGCGACUUUCUGGCACGAAACUGACGCUGAGGCUCGAAAGCAUGGGUAGCGAACGGGAUUAGAUACCCCGGUAGUCCAUGCCGUAAACGUUGUAUACUAGGUGCGGGAGGUAUCGACCCCUUCCGUGCCGAAGCUAACGCAUUAAGUAUACCGCCUGGGGAGUACGCGCGCAAGCGUGAAACUCAAAGGAAUUGACGGGGGCCCGCACAAGCGGUGGAGCAUGUGGUUUAAUUCGAGGCAACGCGAAGAACCUUACCCAGGC